GGUACACCAGCGGUGUGUCCAUCCCGGUCCUCUCGUACUAAGGACAGCUCCUCUCAAAUUUCCUGCGCCCGSGRYKRGUCGGGACCUAAGUCGAGGCCGAUAGGCGUAGACGAUGGACAACAGGUUGAUAUUCCUGUACCACCUCCCCGCCGUUUGAGUAAUGGGGGGACGCAGAAGGAUAGGGUGAGCGUGCCGUUGGUUGUGCACGUCCAAGUUGUGAGAUGAGAAACGAGGCAAAUCCCGUUUCUAUAUAACAUCAAGCAGUGAUGGCAAGAGGUUUAACCUCAGAGUCCCUGAUUUCACACUGCCAAGAAAAGCCUCUAGCGAGGCGGGAGGUGCCCGUACCGCAAACCGACACAGGUAGGCGAGAAGAGAAUUCUAAGGUGAGCGAGUGAACUCUCGUUAAGGAACUCGGCAAAAUGCCCCCGUAACUUCGGGAGAAGGGGUGCUCUGGUAGGGUGUUACAGCCCGAGAGAGCCGCAGUGAAUAGGCCCAGGCGACUGUUUAGCAAAAACACAGGUCUCUGCAAAACCGUAAGGUGACGUAUAGGGGCUGACGCCUGCCCGGUGCUGGAAGGUUAAGGGGAGUGCUUAGCGCAAGCGAAGGUGCGAACCGAAGCCCCAGUAAACGGCGGCCGUAACUAUAACGGUCCUAAGGUAGCGAAAUUCCUUGUCGGGUAAGUUCCGACCCGCACGAAAGGCGGAACGA
rnacentral:rRNA from 1 species